GCUGGUCAGGGUAGGAAGCUCUCUCAAGUCCAAGGUGUCUUUCGAUGCCUCUUUUCCUCACAGACCUCUACUCCAAAAAGCACCUUUAUGGGCGCCUCUUGGACCGAGAGUGCUCUUCACAAGUUUUAACGGAUCUCGGCAACUUCACAAUCUAACUAAGAGUUCCAAAGAGUUUGUGGGUUGCUACCAGUCGGGCGCACCAUGCCUCUGUAGUCCCGUGGCCAGCUUGGGGUGACUUCUGGGCCCGGGGAAAAGGGCUCUGAGCUGCAAGGCAUGGACUGGAG